rnacentral:tRNA from 1 species
CGGGGUGUAGCUCAGCCUGGUAGAGCGCUUGCUUUGGGAGCAAGAGGCCCCGCGUUCGAAUCGCGGCACCCCGACCA